UAUCACCAGAUAGACAAUUAAAGACGUAAUAAAUUGGAAAUUUUAAUUGGAUGAUUACAUUUCGCGCUAAAUGUAACAGGUCAUCUGGCGGCAUUUAAAAGUGUUAAAAUGGAAAAUUGUAACAACAAUCAUUGGAAAAAUAUGGAAGUAGACAAAAGCAAACUUCGACAUAGAAUCUCAGAUGCUAAAUGGAGAGCAAGUUUGGCUAGAUGUUACUUAGAUUUGAAAGAGAUUUUACAAAAUGAAAAUGUUUUGGAAGGAAAAAGGGCAACAAAAAUAAUAAUUUUAAAAGAAAUGAUUGAAUAUAUUCAGAACAAGGAAAGGUUUUUAGAAAACUUGUUAAGAAAAAAAGGUGAGUAAAUUAAUACAGUGAAAUGUCUCUUAGAUGAAAAUUGAAAAAUAGUCUUCUUGGAGUGGUUCUAAAGGAAACAUGUUUUGACAGCAUACAGUAUUGUACUAACAUAAACAUAAGAAAAUAAAAGAAAAUAAAUGUGGUGCAGAAAAUAAAUGCAUUUUAUUUACCUUGUUGGUAAUUAUACAUUAAUAUACAAACAAUACCACUGAAUUUUAUCAUAUUUUUAUGGAUUGUCCAGCAUGUUGGUCUAUCCAGGGAGACCAUAAAAUCAGAUAUUUUCAUAUGAUAAAAACUGUCAUGCCAGUUUAUUCCAGGAGAAUGUCAGCAUACUGGUUUAAGUGAGGUUAUACAUCCUCUCUAGAGGGCAUA